GGGCGAAUAGCUCAGCUGGCAGAGCGCCUGGUUCACAUCUAGGAGGUCACAGGUUCAAGUCCUGUUUCGCCCACCA
rnacentral:tRNA from 1 species